rnacentral:lncRNA from 1 species
AGAAAAGGGGCUAACUAAUCCAUAAACUCAGUCCUUUAAUCAGUUCUGAAUAAUCAAGUUGUCAUUAACAAUUAGAAGACACAAAAGGCUCACCAAUCUGAAUUUGAGAUGUGCUUUCCAAACCUGUUCUGUUUACAGAACUGAAACUGCAGAUUUAAACAAUACUCUUUUUGGACGUUAAGUGACAUGAUAAAAGAAUAUAUUGUAGAUUAAAGGCUGAAUUUAUUUAGUCUAAAUGCAUUUUUAAAGGCUAAAUUUGUUUCAUGCUUUUGUACUUCUGUAUUUUUAUACAAAUAUGUUAGUAUUCCUUUCCUAGUAAAACAAGUGGCAUUUUCAGAAGGGUUUUAUUUUCCCCUUAUAAUACAUUAUCAAAGUAAAAAUAUUUCCCAAGGUAAAAAACACAAAAAAUUUAUUAAAUUUCCUUACUUG